GACAGAGGGUGCAAACGUUGUUCGGAAUUACUGGGCGUAAAGCGCGUGUAGGCGGCCAUCUAAGUCGGGCGUGAAAUCCCACGGCUCAACCGUGGAAGUGCACUCGAAACUGGAUGGCUAGAGUCCUGGAGAGGAAGGUGGAAUGCUUGGUGUAGAGGUGAAAUUCGUAGAUAUCAAGCGGAACACCGGUGGCGAAGGCGGCCUCUGGACAGUGACU
rnacentral:rRNA from 1 species